rnacentral:rRNA from 1 species
GAUGAACGCUGGCGGCGUGCCUAAUACAUGCAAGUCGAGCGAACGGACGAGAAGCUUGCUUUUCUGAUGUUAGCGGCGGACGGGUGAGUAAUACGUGGAUAACCUAUCUAUAAGACUGGGAUAACUUCGGGAAACCGGAGCUAAUACCGGAUAAUAUUUUGAAACGCAUGGUUCAAAAGUGAAAGACGGUCUUGCUGUCACUUAUAGAUGGAUCCGCGCUGCAUUAGCUAGUUGGUAAGGUAACGGCUUACCAAGGCAACGAUGCAUAGCCGACCUGAGAGGAUGAUCAGCCACACUGGAACUGAGACACGGUCCAGACUCCUACGGGAGGCAGCAGUAGGGAAUCUUCCGCAAUGGGCGAAAGCCUGACGGAGCAACGCCGCGUGAGUGAUGAAGGUCUUCGGAUCGUAAAACUCUGUUAUUAGGGAAGAACAUAUGUGUAAGUAACUGUGCACAUCUUGACGGUACCUAAUCAGAAAGCCACGGCUAACUACGUG